rnacentral:rRNA from 1 species
AGCGAACGCUGGCGGCAGGCCUAACACAUGCAAGUCGAACGAAGUCUUCGGACUUAGUGGCGGACGGGUGAGUAACACGUGGGAACGUACCUUUUGGUUCGGAACAACUCAGGGAAACUUGAGCUAAUACCGAAUGUGCCCUUCGGGGGAAAGAUUUAUCGCCAUUAGAGCGGCCCGCGUUAGAUUAGCCAGUUGGUGGG